AUGAGCUUUCAUAUACUUAUAGCUCGAGUGCAUCCGUUGCAUGGCAAUCCCUACUCACUCACAUUGAUAUCUAUUGAUGGGCAUCUCCAUAGCCCGUUGAUACGCCUAGUUGAUGUGAGACUAUCUUCCCCUCUUUUUGUCUUCUCCACAACCACCCUUCUAUUCCACAUAGUGCUAUGUACAUGGCUCACGCUCAUGUAUUGCGUGAAGAUUGAAAAAGUUUUGAAAAAGUUAGAGUAUGAAACAAUUGCUUGGCUUGUCAUCGAGGUUGUGCAUGAUUUAAAUACUUUGUGUGGUGAAGAUAGAGCAUAG
rnacentral:rRNA from 1 species